rnacentral:rRNA from 1 species
AUUGAACGCUAGCGGGAUGCUUUACACAUGCAAGUCGAACGAGUGGCGGACGGGUGAGUAAUAUAUCGGAACGUGCCCAGUCGCGGGGGAUAACUACUCGAAAGAGUGGCUAAUCCCGCCUACUCUUCGAGCGGCCGAUAUCGGAUUAGCUAGUGGGUGGGGUAAAGGCUAACCAAGGCAACGCUCCGUAGCUGGUUGGAGAGGACGACCAGCCACACUGGGACUGAGACACGGCCCAGAUUCCUACGGGAGGCAGCGGUGGGGAAUUUUGGACAAGGGGGGAAGCCCUGAGCCAGCCAUCCCGCGUGUAUGAGAAGGCCUUCGGGUUGUAAAGUACGUUUGUCGGAGAGGCGGUAUCUGAAGAAGAAGCACCGGCUAACUACGUGCCAGCCGCCGCGGUAAUUC